rnacentral:rRNA from 1 species
UGGAAUUCCCGGAGUAGCUGUGAAAUGCGCAGAUACCGGGAGGAACGCCGAUGGCGAAGGCAGCCACCUGGUCCACCCGUGACGCUGAGGCGCGAAAGCGUGGGGAGCAAACCGGAUUAGAUACCCGGGUAGUCCACGCCCUAAACGAUGCGCGCUAGGUCUCUGGGUUUUCUGGGGGCCGAAGCUAACGCGUUAAGCGCGCCGCCUGGGGAGUACGGCCGCAAGGCUGAAACUCAAAGGAAUUGACGGGGGCCCGCACAAGCGGUGGAGCAUGUGGUUUAAUUUGAAGCAACGCGAAGAACCUUACCAGGCCUUGACAUGCUAGGGAACCCGGGUGAAAGCCUGGGGUGCCCCGCGAGGGGAGCCCUAGCACAGGUGCUGCAUGGCCGUCGUCAGCUCGUGCCGUGAGGUGUUGGGUUAAGUCCCGCAACGAGCGCAACCCCCGCCGUUAGUUGCCAGCGGUUCGGCCGGGCACUCUAACGGGACUGCCCGCGAAAGCGGGAGGAAGGAGGGGACGACGUCUGGUCAGCAUGGCCCUUACGGCCUGGGCGACACACGUGCUACAAUGCCCACUACAAAGCGAGGCCACCCGGCAACGGGGAGCUAAUCGCAAAAAGGUGGGCCCAGUUCGGAUUGGGGUCUGCAACCCGACCCCAUGAAGCCGGAAUCGCUAGUAAUCGCGGAUCAGCCAUGCCGCGGUGAAUACGUUCCCGGGCCUUGUACACUCCGCCCG